rnacentral:rRNA from 1 species
AUUGAACGCUAGCGGGAUGCUUUACACAUGCAAGUCGAACGGCAGCGCGGACUUCGGGCUGGCGGCGAGUGGCGCAAGGGUGUGUAAUGUACCGGAACGUGCUCAGUUGCGGGGUAUAACUACGCGAAAGCGCAGCUAAUACUGCAUAAGCCCUACGGGGGAAAGAAGGGGGUCGUUAGAACUUGCCCGAUUUGAGCGGCCGAUUCCGGAUUUGCUAGUUGGUGGGGUAACGGCUGACCAAGCCGACCAUUCGUAGCUGGUGUGACAGGACGGCCAGCCACACGGGAACUGGAACGCGGCCAAGGCGCCUACGAGACGCAGCAGUGUCGAAUGGUGGACAAUGGGGGCAACCCUGAUCCAGCCAGCCCGCGUGUGCGAUGGAGGCCUUCGGGUUGUAAUGCAGUUUUGGCAGGAGUAAAACGUCGCGGGCUGAUACGCCGUGGGACUGACGGUACCUGCUAAAUAAGCACCGGCUAACUACGUG